GAUGAACGCUGGCGGCGUGCCUAAUACAUGCAAGUCGAGCGAACGGACGAGAAGCUUGCUUCUCUGAUGUUAGCGGCGGACGGGUGAGUAAAACGUGUAUAACCUACCUAUAAGACUGGGAUAACUUCGGGAAACCGGAGCUAAUACCGGAUAAUAUUUUGAACCGCAUGGUUCAAAAGUGAAAGACGGUCUUGCUGUCACUGAUCGAUGGAUCCGCGCUGCAUUAGCUAGUUGGUAAGGUAACGGGUUAUCAAGGCAACGAUGCAUAGCCGACCUGAGAGGGUGAUCGUCCACACUGGAACUGAGACACGGUCCAGACUCCUGCGGGAGGCAGCAGUAGCGAAUCUUCCGCAAUGGGCGAAAGCCUGGCGGAGCAACGCCACGUGAGUUAUGAAGGUCUUCGGAUCGUAAAACUCUGUUAUUAGGGAAAAACAUAUGUGUAAGUAACUGUGCACAUCUUGACGGUACCUAAUAAGAAAGCCACGGCUAACUACGUG
rnacentral:rRNA from 1 species